GAUGAAGAACGCAGCGAAAUGCGAUAAGUAAUGUGAAUUGCAGAAUUUAGUGAAUCAUCGAAUCUUUGAACGCAUAUUGCGCCCGCCAGCACUCUGGCGGGCAUGCCUGUUCGAGCGUCAUUUCAACCCUCAGGCCUCGCGUCUGGCGUUGGGGCGCUGCGGCCCUCCCGCAGGCCCCCAAAUUUAGCGGCGGAUUCCCCGCGGCCCUGAGCGCAGUAGAGAGUAAAAACUUUAACGCUCCGGCGGCCGUGGCGCGGUUCUGCCUCUUUCCCAAUAGCGCCAAUAGCGCCACCCCCAAAAAAGUUGACCUCGGAUCAGGUAGGACUACCCGCUGAACUUAAGCAUAUCAAUAAGCGGAGG
rnacentral:misc_RNA from 1 species